ACGGUGAAUACGUUCCCGGGUCUUGUACACACCGCCCGUCACACCACGAGAGUUUGUAACACCCGAAGCCGGUGGAGUAACCUUUUAGGAGCUAGCCGUCGAAGGUGGGACAAAUGAUUGGGGUGAAGUCGUAACAAGGUAGCCGUAUCGGAAGGUGCGGCUGGAUCACCUCCUUUCUAAGGA
rnacentral:rRNA from 1 species